AAUUGAUACAUUGGGAUCUAUUCUGAAUGGAACCAGCAACUGGAACCAGAACUUGGAACAUUGUGGUAAUGGACAUUCAAAGCUCUACAUUGUCUCUUUGUAUCACCCCACAUCUUAUCUUCUUUUCAGUCUCCCUUCCCUAUUGAAGCUUGAGAGGUCACAAAAUAUGAAAGCAAGGGUUCUCAAACCUUUUGAAGUGCAGAGUCCUUUUUGAAGUAAACGUUUCUCAUGGAGCACCAAGAAAUCUAAUUCCAGAAUGACAAGAUACAAAGGAGAGCAGAGCUCUGGGACCUUUAAUAGCUUUGCAGAAGAAAGAAUCUUGGCAACUAUGGUCUGUGAUUUAGCAGUUGGAAACCUGCACCUCAUGAAAUUCCCACUUCUUCCAAAAUUAGGAAUGAGACAAAAACUCUGCCAUUCUAGUUUGCCCCCCAUUAUCCCAUUGCCAGAAGAGGAAUUCGAUCCUCCUUCUCUUUUUUCCGGGUUUUUGGAGUAUUUUUAAAUAUCUUGUCAGACACAGCAGCUUUUUCUUUAAUACUUUCCCCUCGCCCACCAAAAGUAAAUUUCUGCUGUGCUCAUUUACUUUUCUUCUCUUUCUCUCUCUUUUUCCAUCUCUCCAACACCCCCCUUCUCUUUUUUUAUCAAGUGGAGGUUUUGCAUGCAACUGGUAAAGAUCUCCAAAGACAGAAGGUGGGAGAUAGAGAGGCAGACAGGAAGCAAAUGGGAGGAGUAGAAACAAGUAGGAGUUACAGAUGGCUGGGAGAACAUAGAAGGCACACGCUCAAGGGAGCAAAAAAAUUAUAAAUGAACAAAUCAGACCCAGGCUGGGGACAAGAAAACGGAGAGAAGCAUGGAAAGGAAAGGGGACACAAUUUGGGAAAUGGAGAGAGCAGUUGAUUAUCGAAGUGUGCCCUCCCUCCCUUCAUCCCUCCAAAUGGCUCUUAUGGAUACGCUUCCAAAGGCCAGAGAGGAAAAGAGGGACUGUGUGAAAUGUGUGCAACUUCAUCCCCCCUCCCUUAAUAACAUCCAUCUAUUUAUAGCUCCUAAAUUAUAGACUACCAAUGUUGCUCAGAGACAAGAUGUACUAUUUGGCUGCCAGCAAGGGAAAAAGAAUUUGUGUGGGGUGGGGAGGGGGGUGAGUUUUACCAUCACCUCGCUUGGCCCCUCUUUCCCAGCAAAGUGCACAAUUUCUCUAACAUGGACAGACUUUAUCAAAAGAACUGGGGAGGCAA